UCAUCUCAAUAUCACUUGCUUACUGAAAAUAUAAAUCUUGAAAUUUGAUAUUGUAUAUACUAUUCAGUGGCAUUUUUGUAUGAAUGCAAACCUUUUUUCUUCAACGGGCCUAAAGACUUGAUUUUGUAGGAAGCCAAAUCCUUGGAGAAAGAUUCUAUUUGUCACAUUUGGGCAUGGGAAAUGUGAUUCUGUUGAAUCCAGAAAAUUUGUUUGGAUACUGGGAAAGAAUUGAAAGGAAUUCUAUGGUGCAUAGCUGGCUGGUUGUAGAAUUGUUACUGAAAUACAAAGAAUUCACUGUUAAAACAGGGGACAAUAGGAAAGCAACAAAAACUGCGAUCCUCGCCAGAGUGACAACAUUUGUAGGGGUGGCCAUCUUGGGUUCAAGCUUAUACUACUGUAAAUGGGGCAAGAAGAGCACAACGAGGUAAACUUCUACCCGAGAGUCACAAAAUCCUAGACAUUCUUAGGCCUUAUUUGGUAGACACCUAAAAAUGAUUUGAUCUCAUUUUAAUUAACAAUAAUUAUGUAAACUUCUACCUGAGGAUUUAGUUAUCCUUUAAAAAAAAAAAAAAAAACACCAAGGAUAUUUGUUAUAGCUUCACUGUAAUCUUUCUUGUUUUUAACAAAAUGAUUAACGGACGACAUUCUCUUCUAUUCCAUCAAGUUGUUCAUGCA